UACGGGGGGAGCAAGCGUUGUUCGGAUUUACUGGGCGUAAAGGGCGCGUAGGCGGCCAGCACAAGUCGGUUGUGAAAUCUCCGGGCUUAACUCGGAAAGGUCAACUGAUACUGUGCGGCUAGAGUGCGGAAGGGGCAACUGGAAUUCUUGGUGUAGCGGUGAAAUGCGUAGAUAUCAAGAGGAACACCUGCGGCGAAGGCGGGUUGCUGGGCCGACACUGACGCUGAGGCGCGAAAGCCAGGGGAGCGAACGGG
rnacentral:rRNA from 1 species